rnacentral:rRNA from 1 species
AGAAUCAACGCUGGCGGCGUGCCUAACACAUGCAAGUCGCACGAGAAAGGGGAGCAAUCCCUGAGUACAGUGGCGCACGGGUGAGUAACACGUGAAUAAUCUACCUCCGAGUGGGGAAUAACUGAGAGAAAUCUUAGCUAAUACCGCAUAAUACCCACGGGUCAAAGCAGUAAUGCGCUUGGAGAGGAGUUCGCGGCAGAUUAGUUAGUUGGCGGGGUAAUGGCCCACCAAGACGAUGAUCUGUAUCCGGCCUGAGAGGGCGCACGGACACACUGGAACUGAAACACGGUCCAGACUCCUACGGGAGGCAGCAGUGGGGAAUUUUGCGCAAUGGGGGAAACCCUGACGCAGCAACGCCGCGUGGAGGAUGAAGCCCCUUGGGGUGUAAACUCCUUUCGAUCGGGAAGAUAAUGACGGUACCGAUAUAAGAAGCCCCGGCUAACUUCGCGCCAGCAGCCGC